AGCCUGCCUUUCUACGUGAGUGUCCUGUGGGGUGGAGACUCGGGGUGGACUGCCUGGCUGUGCACUGUGGAGCAUGGUAGACCCAGUAAGACUUGGUCCCUACGCUAUGACAGAUGUCCUCAGAGUUCCCGGCACUGGGGCUUCUGCUGGGGAGGCUCAUCCUUCGUAUUGGGGAUCCUGACGAGGAGAUUGGCCAGGAGGCUCUGGACGGCAUCACCCUCCUCUACACCAUCCUGGAGUUCCAAAAACGACCCAGAAAUAAGGAAGAGACCAACAAGAAGGAGCUGUAUGAGAGCAACAAGCGCUUCCUGGGGCCCCACAACCCUGUCAACCCACGCCAGAACAUCUUGCGUGUGAUUUUGGAAUUUGGAGACUUCUUGGGCCCCCAGCAGGUGAAGGACCUACUGCUGGCAGCCGUGGAAGGGCUGAGUGGAGGCAUGGAGGCUCUGGGGAAGGACUCUGGGGAGACGAUGCGGCUGCCCUCGGAGGUCACGCUCAGCUCCGUGCUGAGGUGGUACCACCUCAGAACACUGGCGGUGAUCCCAGAAAUCAUGCAGGGCAUCCACGUGCAGCUGAGCCACAUCCAGGAGCCACGCGCCCGAGAGGUGGCCCUGCCUCCCGUCUCCUUCCUGGCCAGGUCCUUCAUGACUGAGGUCGUGGUGGCCCUGCUCAAGUGUCCCCUCCCCCUGAACAGCAGUGGAGCCGAGAUGUGGAGGCAGCUGAUCCUGCCCAAGCCCAGCUGUGGCGCUGCUGGAGACCUCCUGGAUCUGCUGCUGAGCACCCUGAAGGAGAAGCCAGUCACCAAGGAGGGCCAGGCCUCCACUGCGCCCCUGGCGGUGAGGACACCCCCCCCCACCUGCCAGUCCCUGCUGCUGCUCAGCUCCUGUCUCUGGGCUCUUGGCUUGGAUCCACCGGGUGAAAUGGCAGUGCCGCCGUGGGGAAGGCAAGCUGGGAUGGUGGGAACAGAAUGACUUUGGGGUCGCGCACCUUAGGUCCUGGGAUGCUGUGUCACUGCUUUGGGAGAUGGGCAAGUGACCCCACCUCGGAGGCCAGGCCCCCUCUGUACAUCUGAGGAUAGAAAUGGUAAUAAUACCCAGCCGGGCGUGGUGGCGUGCACCAGCAAUCCCAGUGCUCUGAGGAGCUGAGGCGGGCCUAGGAGACUUAGCGACUUAGGGAGGCUGUGUCUUAAAAUAAAAAAUAAAAACAAAAAGGGUUGGGGAUGUAGCUCAGGGUGAAGGCCUUGAGGUCAAUCCCCAGUAACACACAUACACACACACGAAUAUCUGUAAUACCUACCCCAUGG
rnacentral:lncRNA from 1 species